rnacentral:lncRNA from 1 species
GACACGUUGGCAUUCUAGUGCCCGCGAUCGAAUAACCCAGAUGCGUGCCCGCGUACGUGGACAGUCUGAAUCCAUUCCCUCUUCAGACACGAUCGGACGGUCAUGAUUAAACGUGAUGAACAGCCCAGAUUCAUUUAUUCUUUAAACGCGAUCGUACGGUCCAAUUUUAUUUAUUUUUAAACACGAUCGAACGAUCGAGAUCCAAUGCGAUGAAUGACCC